CUGCGUGACGAAGCGCGCGCUAAAGUGGACAAUAAAGCCUGAACUACGCGUGAGUCGCCUUCAGACGCCGGUUAAGCCGGCGUUUUUUA
rnacentral:sRNA from 1 species